rnacentral:rRNA from 1 species
CCUGGUUGAUUCUGCCAGUAGUCAUAUGCUUGUCUCAAAGAUUAAGCCAUGCAUGUCUAAGUAUAAGCAAUCAUACUGUGAAACUGCGAAUGGCUCAUUAAAUCAGUUAUCGUUUAUUUGAUAGUACCUUUACCUGGAUAACCGUGGUAAUUCUAGAGCUAAUACAUGCUAAAAACCCCGACUUCGGAAGGGGUGUAUUUAUUAGAUAAAAAACCAAUGCCCUCUGGGCUCCUUGGUGAUUCAUAAUAACUUAACGAAUCGCAUGGCCUUGCGCCGGCGAUGGUUCAUUCAAAUUUCUGCCCUAUCAAUUUUCGAUGGUAGAGUAGUGGUCUACCAUGAUCUUAACGGGUAACGGGGAAUUAGGGUUCUAUUCCGGAGAAGGAGCCUGAGAAACGGCUACUACAUCCAAGGAAGGCAGCAGGCGCGCAAAUUACCCAAUGCUAAUUCAGCGAGGUAGUGACAAUAAAUACUGAUACGGGGCUCUUUCGGGUCUCGUAAUUGGAAUGAGUACAAUCUAAAUCCCUUAACGAGGAACAAUUGGAGGGCAAGUCUGGUGCCAGCAGCCGCGGUAAUUCCAGCUCCAAUAGCGUAUAUUAAAGUUGUUGCCGUUAAAAAGCUCGUAGUUGAACCUUGGACCUGGCUGAUCUGUCCUCCUAAUCGAGCGCACGGAUUCGGUCGGGUCUUUCCUUCUGGGGAGCCCUAUGCCCUUCACUGGGUGUAGUGGGGAACCAGGACUUUUACCUUGAAAAAAUUAGAGUGUUCAAAGCAGGCCUUUGCUCGAAUACAUUAGCAUGGAAUAAUAGAAUAGGACAUCGGUUCUAUUUUGUUGGUUUCUAGGACCGCUGUAAUGAUUAAUAGGGAUAGUCGGGGGCGUCAGUAUUCAAUUGUCAGAGGUGAAAUUCUUGGAUUUAUUGAAGACUAACUACUGCGAAAGCAUUCGCCAAGGAUGUUUUCAUUAAUCAGUGAACGAAAGUUAGGGGAUCGAAGACGAUCAGAUACCGUCGUAGUCUUAACCAUAAACUAUGCCGACUAGGGAUCGGACGGUGGUUUUUUUAUGCCCCGUUCGGCACCUUACGAGAAAUCAAAGUUUUUGGGCUCGGGGGG